AGCUUUUUUAAAUUUUUAAUAUUUAAAAAUGGCUUCUUCAAACCAGAUUUCAAUUGAAUCAAGUGAAAAUAAUAUAGCUAGCCAAAGUUUUAACAAAUGUGAAGAUGAAGUUUUUAUAAAUAUACUUUGCGAAUUGCCAAUACUUCUAGAAAAAAGCCAAGUUCCAAACGUUAAAAUAAAGAAAAACAAAGCAUUUUUAAAAAUGCAAGACCAAAUGUUCCAAGCAACAGGAACAAAAAUUGAUACAAAAACAUUGGCGAAAAAGAUUGCCAACAUGAAGGCAAGGUUAAAAAAAAGUCUGACAUCCAUCGAACUGGAAACAAGCCUAUAAAGCUUUCAGCGAUUGAAGUCAAACUUGCCAAUCUUUUAGAUACAGAAAAGAAUCCUACCUUCACACAAAUUGAUGGGGCAAUAUCUGCAGGCAUAGAUCAAACUCCCACUUCAAGUGUUGCUGAAACAAAUUCUGUAUUCAGCAACUCAUCAAAAAGUCAAACUAUAUCUUCAUUGUCACCAUCAGUUGAAUUUUCAGGGAACACAUCUUCUCAAGCAUAGAGGUUAAUUC
rnacentral:lncRNA from 1 species